AAUAGCGGAGGAAAAGAAACCAACCGGGAUUGCCUUAGUAACGGCGAGUGAAGCGGCAAAAGCUCAAAUUUGAAAUCUAGUACCUUCGGUGCUCGAGUUGUAAUUUGUAGAGGGAUACUUUGGGGCCGUCUCUUAUCUAUGUUCCUUGGAACAGGACGUCAUAGAGGGUGAGAAUCCCGUAUGAUGAGAGUCGCGGUUCUUUGUAAAGUUCCUUCGAAGAGUCGAGUUGUUUGGGAAUGCAGCUCUAAGUGGGUGGUAAAUUCCAUCUAAAGCUAAAUAUUGGCGAGAGACCGAUAGCGAACAAGUACAGUGAUGGAAAGAUGAAAAGAACUUUGAAAAGAGAGUGAAAAAGUACGUGAAAUUGUUGAAAGGGAAGGGCAUUUGAUCAGACAUGGUGUUUUGCGCCCUCUGCUCCUUGUGGGUGGGGGAAUCUCGCAGCUCACUGGGCCAGCAUCAGUUUUGGCGGUAGGAUAAAUCCAUAGGAAUGUGGCUUGCUUCGGUAAGUGUUAUAGCCUGUGGGAAUACUGCCAGCCGGGACUGAGGACUGCGACAUCGUCAAGGAUGCUGCAUAACGUCGGAGU
rnacentral:rRNA from 1 species